GACAGAGGGUGCAAACGUUGUCCGGAUUCAUUGGGCGUAAAGGGUCCGUAGGCGGCUCAGCAAGUCGGGUGUGAAAUCUCCAGGCUCAACCUGGAGGGGCCACUCGAUACUGCUGUGGCUUGAGUCCAGUAGGGGAGCAUGGAAUUCCCGGUGUAGCGGUGAAAUGCGCAGAUAUCGGGAGGAACACCAGUGGCGAAGGCGGUGCUCUGGGCUGGAACUGACGCUGAUGGACGAAAGCGUGGGUAGCAAACAGG
rnacentral:rRNA from 1 species